AGUCUUCCACUAGCAGCCUUUGGAUGAAGACAGAACUCUCAGCUCCUCCUGUGUCAUGCCUGCCUUGAUACUGCCAUGCUCCCACCUUGAUGAUAAUGGACUGAACCUCUGAACCUGUAAGCCAGCCCCAAUUAAAUGUUAUUUUUUAUAAAACUUGCCUUGGUCAUGGUGUCUGUUCACAGCAGUAAAACCCUAACUAAGACAGCAGUUGGUACCAGGAGUGGGGUAUUGCUGUGAUAGGCCUGACCAUGUUUUUAUUUGAAAGAAUGUAGAUUUUGGGACUUUGGAUUUGGAAAGCAGUGGAAUGCUUUAAAUGGGGCUUAAUGGAUCAUCCUAGUAGGAAUAUGGAAGACUUAGUUGCUGGCAGUAAUUUGUACUGUGUUGACCUGGCCCAAGAGAUUUCAAAGGAGAAGAAUUUCAGAAUGUGGCAUAAAGACUGGUUUUGUGGUAUUUUGGUGAAGAAUGUGGCUACUUUUUGCCCUUGUCUGAAAAGUUUGCCUGAGGCUAAGGUGAAGAGACUUGGAUUAAUUUCAGUGAGAAAAGAAGUUUCCAAAAAAAACCGAGCAGACACUUUGUUCUCUGGUUAAGUCUUAUGAAGAGAAGUUUGAACAAGCAUAGCAAGCUUAGGAAGGAUAAAAUAUAACAUAUAUGGUUUGAGUAUUAAAGAAGUACCAGGAAGUGAAAUAGAGCAAAAUCUUGUGUUAUAGGAGAUAAAGAUUAAGGGAGUGGGACUUUGGGGCAAGAUUCUACCCAGCUUAAUUAGAUCCAGGCAUGAUGGUACACACCUUUAAUCCCAUGAGACAGGCAUGCUGAUCUUUGCAUUCAAGGUCAAUCUACAGAGCAAGAACCAGGAUAGCCAAGCUUAGGCAGUGAAGGAUUUAGAAAACAUAAAGCUAGUGAUAAUGUAAUAGGACAAGGGGAUCAUGUUCUAGUUCCUGUAAGCAGCAGAACUCGGCAGCUUCAGGCAUAUGGCUCUGGCUCUAGAGUUAAGAAUUGAAGGAACUACUGGGAAAAUUGAUGCUGGUUAGCUGGAGCUAAGGUAUUAGCAGUGAUUAAGCAGAGACCAGCAUCACUAAGGUGAAAUCUUCUGGAAAUUGUUUUCUGGGAGCACAAAGAAGCUGUGGCCCAGAGAUACCCAAGGUUGUACCUCAUGCUACAGCUGGACUUGGUAAUGUGUAAGAGUCACUCAGGUGGUACUGCUUGUGAAGGAAUGAAGGGACAAUGUAGAGAAGCUGAGGCUUAACACUGUGAGAGACCAGGGAAGGCCAUUGGAAAAGGUGAAGCCUCAGCUGUAGUUGAUGGCCCAGGACUGAAGGGGUCAUGCAAAGGAAUUGAGGCUUGGCACCCUGAAGAGAGCCUAUGAGAGGCUAUUGGUGAAGCCUAGUUGGAGUGGAACACCCCAGUGUAUUGGAGAUGUCAGUACCAUGGGAUGAUCACCAAGAACAGCAGCCGUAGUGGAGUGGAUCAACCUGAGCAUAGAGUGCUACAGAGGACAGAGAUGGAGAAGUGAUGCCAGCCCUUAAGAGGAUUCCAAAAGAUCAAGUGGAAUCCCAGACACUGAAAGAAGAAGCUGUAACAUUGAAAUUGCCUUGGAGACUCAAAGAUUUUAAAGAUGCCAGAGCCUUGGGAUACAUGCUAAGGAAAACUGCUAACAGGGAGGGGAACCAGCCCAGGAGAAAGCAGUUUGUUGCAGUCAACAAAUAUGAAAAAGGAGUGGAGAUCUGAAGACCGCUUUGACAUCAGCCAUGGAGAUGCAUUGUUUGGAGUUUGCCCAGCUGGUUUCCUGCCUUGCCUUGGGGAUUACAGUUAAUUAAGUUGAAUAAAUCUCAGAAGAGACCUUGAACUUUGGACUUUUAACAUUGUUGCAACUGCUAUAGACUAUGAGGACUUUGAAAGUUGGAAUAAAUGCAUUUUGCAU
rnacentral:lncRNA from 1 species